AGAGUUUGAUCCUGGCUCAGGACGAACGCUGGCGGCGUGCUUAACACAUGCAAGUCGAACGGAAAGCGCUUUUCGGAGUGACUCGAGUGGCGAACGGGUGAGUAACACGUGGGUGAUCUGCCCUGCACUUUGGGAUAAGCCUGGGAAACUGGGUCUAAUACCGGAUAGGACUACGAAUCGCAUGGUUUGUGGUGGAAAGCUUUUGCGGUGUGGGAUGGGCCCGCGGCCUAUCAGCUUGUUGGUGGGGUGAUGGCCUACCAAGGCGACGACGGGUAGCCGGCCUGAGAGGGUGUCCGGCCACACUGGGACUGAGAUACGGCCCAGACUCCUACGGGAGGCAGCAGUGGGGAAUAUUGCACAAUGGGCGCAAGCCUGAUGCAGCGACGCCGCGUGAGGGAUGACGGCCUUCGGGUUGUAAACCUCUUUCAACAGGGACGAAGCGCGAGUGACGGUACCUGUAGAAGGAGCACCGGCCAACUACGUGCCAGCAGCCGCGGUAAU
rnacentral:rRNA from 1 species